rnacentral:sRNA from 1 species
GGAUUCCCCUAGUAACUGCGAGUGAAGAGGGAAAAGCUCAAAUUUAAAAUCUGGCAGUCUCUGGCUGUCCGAGUUGUAAUUUAGAGAAGUGUUACCCGCGCUGGACCGUGUACAAGUCUCCUGGAAUGGAGCGUCAUAGAGGGUGAGAAUCCCGUCUUUGACACGGACUACCAGGGCAUUGUGGUGCGCUCUCGAAGAGUCGAGUUGUUUGGGAAUGCAGCUCUAAAUGGGUGGUAAAUUCCAUCUAAAGCUAAAUAUUGGCGAGAGACCGAUAGCGAACAAGUACCGUGAGGGAAAGAUGAAAAGAACUUUGGAAAGAGAGUUAAACAGUACGUGAAAUUGCUGAAAGGGAAACGCUUGAAGUCAGUCGCGUUGGCCAGGGAUCAGCCUUGCUUCUGUGAGGUGUACUUCCUGGUUGACGGGUCAGCAUCAGUUUCGACCACUGGAGAAAGGCUUGGGGAAUGUGGCACCUCCGGGUGUGUUAUAGCCCCUUGUCGUAUACAGUGGUUGGGACUGAGGAACUCAGCACGCCGCAAGGCCGGGAUUCGUCCACGUUCGUGCUUAGGAUGCUGGCAUAAUGGCUUUAAGCGACCC